rnacentral:rRNA from 1 species
GAAAGUAAGAAAGGGCGUAUGGAGGAUGCCUAGGCUCUCGGAGGCGAUGAAGGACGUGAUAAGCUGCGAUAAGCUUCGGGUAGGUGCAAAUAACCCUUGAUCCGAAGAUUUCCGAAUGGGACAACCUAGCCGUCUGAAGGACGGUUACUCUUACCAAUGUAAGAGAGCUAACGCAGGGAACUGAAACAUCUUAGUACCUGCAGGAAGAGAAAAUAAAUGAAUGAUUCCCCCAGUAGUGGCGAGCGAACGGGGAACAGCCCAAACCAGUGGCGUCGCAAGGCGUGGCUGGGGUUGUAGGACCGCGACAUUGUACUGAAAUGGUGAGUGGAAGUAUCUGGAAAGUUACAUCACAGAAGGUGAUAAUCCUGUACACGAAGCCAGAUCAGGCAUAGCGGUAUCCUGAGUAACGCGGGACACGAGGAAUCCUGCGCGAAUCUGCCGGGACCAUCCGGUAAGGCUAAAUACUCCCGUGAGACCGAUAGCGAACGAGUACUGUGAAGGAAAGGUGAAAAGAACCCCGAGCAGGGGAGUGAAAUAGUUCCUGAAACCAUACGCCUACAAGCGGUCGGAGCAUCGUAAGAUGUGACGGCGUGCCUUUUGCAUAAUGAUCCUACGAGUUACCGUCACUGGCGAGGUUGAGUGUCAUGAGACACGUAGCCGCAGUGAAAGCGAGCCUGAAUAGGGCGCACAGUCAGUGGGGGUAGACGCGAAACCAAGUGAUCUACACUUGGCCAGGAUGAAGUCCCGGUAACACGGGAUGGAGGUCCGCACCAAUAAGCGUUGAAAAGCUUCUGGAUGAGCCGAGUGUAGGAGUGAAAGGCCAAUCAAACUUGGAGAUAGCUCGUACUCCCCGAAAGGCAUUUAGGUGCCGCGUCGGAUGGUCACCGUGAGAGGUAGAGCGACCGAUAGGACAAGAGGGCUUCACCGCCUAUCGAGUCCUGACGAACUCCGAAUGCUCACGGUCUGCAGUCCGGCAGUAAGGGGGCGGGUGCUAAGGUCCGUCCCCGAGAGGAGAAGAAUCCAGACCGCCGUCUAAGGUCCCGGAGUUCUGCCUGAGUUAGUCUAACGAAGUCUGGUCCCUAUGACAGCUAGGAUGUUGGCUUGGAAGCAGCCAUUCAUUCAAAGAGUGCGUAACAGCUCACUAGUCGAGGGUCCGGGCAUGGAUAAUAAUCGGGUAUAAGGCAGACACCGAAGGCGCGGGAUAGCAAUUUUAAAAGUAUCGGUAGGGGAGCAUACUCACAGCGUCGAAUGGUGUACGUAAGUUAUCCUGGAGCGGUGAGUAAAGCAAAUGUAGGAAUAAGUAACGAUAAGGAGGGUUAGAUUCCCUCCCGCUGUAAGACCAAGGUUUCCCGGGCAAUGCCAAUCAGCCCGGGGUCAGUCGGGUCCUAAGUCUAAGCCGAACGGCGAUGGCGAUGGCAGAGACGGUUAAUAUUCCGUCACUGCCGCAUGGGGCGACGUGGAGACGGAGCAGUGAAACCACCGCGGGGCGACGGAAGUCCCCGUUGAAGAGUGUAGGUGUUGAGGAUGGCAGGCAAAUCCACCAUCCGAGCUGAACUUGAGAGUACGGAGUCCUCUUCGGAGGAAUCUGAUAGUGUGGGUAAUCAUACUCCCGAGAAAAUCCGCUAAGCUUAACCCAUGCGGCACCCGUACCGCAAACGGACACACGUGGUCGGGUAGAACAUACUAAGGCGUUGAGAGAUUCAUGGUUAAGGAACUAGGCAAAUUGACCCUGUAACUUCGGGAUAAAGGGUCCUCGUGAUGAGCGAGGCGCAGAGAAUAGGUCCAGGCAACUGUUUAACAAAAACACAGGGCUGUGCAAACUCGAAAGAUGACGUAUACAGCCUGACACCUGCCCGGUGCCGGAAGGUUAAGAGGAGAUGUCACUCGCAAGAGGAAGCAUUGAAUUGAAGCCCCGGUAAACGGCGGCCGUAACUAUAACGGUCCUAAGGUAGCGAAAUUCCUUGUCGGGUAAGUUC